rnacentral:lncRNA from 1 species
GUCUCCAGUUCUAUCACCCUAAUUCUAGAACAUCAGCUCCUCCCUGAGUCUCCAACUGAAAGACCCUCAACGCAACAACAUCAGCUCCUCCCCAAGUCUUCAGCUGCAAGACCCUCAAACUAGAACAUCAGCUCCUCCCCGGUCUUCAGCUGCAAGACCCUCAAACUAGAACAUCAGCUCCUCCCCGGGUCUGCAGCUGCACGACCCUCAAUCUAGAACAUCAGCUCCUCUCCAGGUCUGCAGCUGCAAGACCCUCAAUCUAGAACAUCAGCUCCUCUCCGGGUCUGCAGCUGCACGACCCUCAAUCUAGAACAUCAGCUCCUCUCCGGGUCUGCAGCUGCACGACCCUCAAUCUAGAACAUCAGCUCCUCCCCGGGUCUUCAGCUGCAUGACCCUCAAACUAGAACAUCAGCUCCUCUCCAGGUCUGCAGCUGCACGACCCUCAAUCUAGAACAUCAGCUCCUCCCCGGGUCUUCAGCUGCACGACCCUCAAACUAGAACAUCAGCUCCUCUCCAGGUCUGCAGCUGCACGACCCUCAAUCUAGAACAUCAGCUCCUCCCCGGGUCUUCAGCUGCAUGACCCUCAAACUAGAACAUCAGCUCCUCUCCAGGUCUGCAGCUGCACGACCCUCAAUCUAGAACAUCAGCUCCUCUCCGGGUCUGCAGCUGCAUGACCCUCAAACUAGAACAUCAGCUCCUCCCCGGGUCUUCAGCUGCAUGACCCUCAAUCUAGAACAUCAGCUCCUCUCCAGGUCUGCAGCUGCACGACCCUCAAUCUAGAACAUCAGCUCCUCUCCGGGUCUGCAGCUGCAUGACCCUCAAACUAGAACAUCAGCUCCUCCCCGGGUCUGCAGCUGCACGACCCUCAAUCUAGAACAUCAGCUCCUCCCCGGGUCUGCAGCUGCACGACCCUCAAUCUAGAACAUCAGCUCCUCUCCAGGUCUGCAGCUGCACGACCCUCAAUCUAGAACAUCAGCUCCUCCCCGGGUCUGCAGCUGCACGACCCUCAAUCUAGAACAUCAGCUCCUCUCCAGGUCUGCAGCUGCAUGACACUCAAACUAGAACAUCAGCUCCUCCCCGGGUCUGCAGCUGCAUGACACUCAAACUAGAACAUUAGCUCCUCCCCAGGUCUGCAGCUGCAGGACCCUCAAGGUAGAACAUCAGCUCUUCCCCGAGCUAAAACACCUCUCCCACCUGGAUCUCCAGCUCCACGAGUCUCACAGAACAGCCACACUGGCUCCUUCGUUGUCUUCAGCUCCACAACCUAAGACAUCAGUGGGAGCACCGGCUCCUCCCUGGACCUCCAGCUCAACGACUCUCAUAGACUUAAAAGGCAGCACCUGCUCCUCCCCAAGGCUCCAUCUCCACCACCCUCAGAUUUGAACAGCGGUAGCACCACCUCCUCUCCAGGUCUUCAGCCCCACGUCCCUCCCUGAACAAUCCCUUCUCAUGAAAUUCAGCAGUCAAGAAAUCUGCAGCGGAAGUAAAUGAAUAAAUGUUUUGUUUUCAAAUUG